AUUGAACGCUGGCGGCAUGCCUUACACAUGCAAGUCGAACGGCAGCACGGGUGCUUGCACCUGGUGGCGAGUGGCGAACGGGUGAGUAAUACAUCGGAACGUACCUUAUCGUGGGGGAUAACGCAGCGAAAGCUGUGCUAAUACCGCAUACGCCCUGAGGGGGAAAGCGGGGGAUCGCAAGACCUCGCGCGAUUAGAGCGGCCGAUGCCUGAUUAGCUUGUUGGUGGGGUAAAAGCCCACCAAGGCGACGAUCAGUAGCUGGUCUGAGAGGACGAUCAGCCACACUGGGACUGAGACCCGGCGCAGACUCCUACGGGAGGCAGCAGUGGGGAAUUUUGGACAAGGGGGGCAACCCUGAUCCAGCAAUGCCGCGUGAGUGAAGAAGGCCUUCGGGUUGUAAAGCUCUUUUGUCAGGGAAGAAACACCGGCUCUAACACAGUCCGGGAAUGACGGUACCUGAAGAAUAAGCACCGGCUAACUACGUGCCAGCAGCCGCCGUAA
rnacentral:rRNA from 1 species